UACGUAGGUGACAAGCGUUGUCCGGAUUUACUGGGCGUAAAGAGCGCGCAGGCGGUCGUUCAAGUCGAGUGUGAAAGCCCCCGGCUCAACUGGGGAGGGUCAUUCGAUACUGAUCGACUCGAAGGCAGGAGAGGGAAGUGGAAUUCCAGGUGUAGCGGUGAAAUGCGUAGAUAUCGGGAGGAACACCAAUGGCGAAGGCAGCUCGCUGGGACGGUACUGACGCUGAGACGCGAAAGCGUGGGGAGCAAACAGG
rnacentral:rRNA from 1 species